rnacentral:tRNA from 1 species
UAGGGAGUACCCAAGAGGCCAAAGGGGAAGGGCUGUAAACCCUUUGCGUUGCGCUUCGUAGGUUCGAAUCCUACCUCCAUCA